rnacentral:sRNA from 1 species
CGCUCAGGCCUUUCAGGCAUCCUCUCCUAAAAACUUCCACGGCCGGUCUUUUGACCGGCCUUUUUUUUGGCUGUC